UCUCCGUAGGUGAACCUGCGGAGGGAUCAUUACAGAGUUCUCGCCCUCGCGGGUAGAUCUCCCACCCCCUGUUAUCGUUACUGUGUUGCUUUGGCGGGCCGCCGGGCCCCGCUCGGCCGCCGGCCCCGGCUGGCGCGCGCACGUCAGAGGCCCAGCAAACUCUGAAUGUUAGUGUCGUCUGAGUACUAUAUAAUAGUUAAAACUUUCAACAACGGAUCUCUUGGUUCUG
rnacentral:misc_RNA from 1 species